AUCCAGUUCGUGUAGUGGUAACACACUCGUGGCAUAGAGUUGGCUUUCUUAGCGUCUUGAUUGAGCGGGUUGUUAGUCCCUCGAUGAUUGCUUCGAGAGACCUUGGUUCGAAUCCAAGCCUGGGUU